rnacentral:rRNA from 1 species
CAGCAGCCGCGGGAAUACGAAGGGUGCAAGCGUUAAUCGGAAUUACUAGGCGUAAAGCGUGCGCAGGCGGCUUGACAAGUCUUGUGUGAAAUCUAUGGGCUCAACCCAUAGUCUGCACGGGAAACUGUCGGGCUUGAGAAUGGGAGAGGUGAGUGGAAUUUCCGGUGUAGCGGUGAAAUGCGUAGAUAUCGGAAGGAACACCUGUGGCGAAAGCGGCUCACUGGACCAUUUCUGACGCUGAUGCACGAAAGCUAGGGGAGCAAACAGGAUUAGAUACCCGCGUAGUCCCUGUCUCUUAUAC